CUCCCAGCCCGCGAACUCGCCCGCGUCGAAGGUGCGCAGCAGCCCCAGCGCCCAGGGGCCCUCGCUGUCGCCCUCCAUCGCCGCUCGCCGCCCGCCUCCGACCUGCGCCGCCCGAGCCCCGGCCGCAGCCCAGGUGCCCAGGCUCAGCGUUGGGCUCCGAGGUCAGGGAACUGGAUAUGCCUACAGAGGCCUGAACUGCAGUCAGAGAGGGGACAAAGGUCCCCGGACAAUGAUCACGGUCAGAGCUGGAUGGACUGGCCAGGCCCCUCCUGUAGACUUGGCCUUGUUCCUCACCUGGACCACUCAGUCCACUCACCGUGAAGGU